UUGAUAGUAACAACCUUCCCACCC
rnacentral:piRNA from 1 species